CUCUCUGGUGUCAGUUCUCAUCUCAGGUUUCUCCAGUUUGCACUGAGCUUUCUUUUAUUGAUUCCCUUGACGGCUCUUCCUCUCCCCUAACCACAGGCUGAUGAGUUGCAGGUUACACAAUCCAUUACACUGAUGAAGUUGUUGAAGUGUCUCCCUUCCCAGAAUUCUAUUUAUUGUCCAGAUGCACUAAAGUGGACGAGUAAUUUUUUUUGGAUGUAUUGAUGCAACACACAAGGAGAGCACAAAAUAAAAAAGACAAACAUGA